rnacentral:lncRNA from 1 species
AUGUUCCAUCAGACAACUUGGAACCCAGAGAACAGGGAUUAUGCUGUGUUCAGCCCACCUAUUGUCACUGCAUGCUGCAGCCAAGAUGAGAAGGAAUCGGUCCCAUGGAAGGAAUUUCAUGUCUCUCUAGCAGUUCGGCAAGACAAGCUUGAGAAGGAAGCCACAUCAAAACGGGAGGCUCCUGCCACCAUGAGCCUCAUGGAUGUUCUGAGUCUGGCCUGAUUAGGAGGAAGAGUCAAGCAUGAUCACAGACAAAACUGAUGGGGAUGGAAGUAUCUGGGUGAGGAGGGUAGCCUGGAAUGGAGGCAGGCAAACAAGAAAAGAAAGCGGGAGAGAGACCAGUUGGAGAGACUGUAUACCUGCAUCAGACCCUCCUAAAGUCCCCACAGUACAGAAGAUCAAGAUGAGUGCAACUGUCUGCUCCCCGAAGGAGAGGGGUUUCUGAAGAGGAAGUGGGCAGAGAUACAUGGCAAUGGAUUACCUGGAAGCAAGAGGAGAACAACCUGAAAAAGAACAUUUUCUAUGCUCCUUAUAUUGAAGGAUCUUGCUGAAUAAAUGGUUGGUAAGUAGAGAAGGAAUUACAAUGUAAUAGUUAGCCAGCCAAUUUCUGCUUAUUUAAUUAAGUAUGCUUUUCCCAUUCCUGGCAAAUUCUUUUGAUUGACAUACAUAUUCCCCUUCUUCUUUUAUAUAGAUGCUUCUAUGUCCAUUCACACUGUUCCUCAAGACCAACAGGGAAAAUACUUCCCAAAGCAAUGUUCUGGGACAAGUAAAGCUAUCAAACAUCAAACAAAAUUACAUCAUUUUUUUUUCCUUCUUUAAUCAUCUCUUACCUUCUGCCUCUUCAGGGAAACAGUUCAUCUUUAUUUCCAUUGUGUGAUAAAGCAUUUUCUAACCAAAUCAGCAAAAAACUCCAUUCAAAGUCGACAACCAGAUUUUUAGACAUAAAACACACACCAGUUCUGUCUGGCACAAAGU